rnacentral:tRNA from 1 species
GCUCCUGUCGUCUAGUGAUUAGGACAUUAGGUUUUCAACCUGAAGGCGGGAGUUUAAUUCUCCUCAGGAGUA